CAUCACCAUGUGUUACAAAUGUGGUUUCGUUUGAUCUUUUGAAGAAAGCGGGCAUUAUAUGACAGUGUUUUGAUAAGAACGUACGGAAAACAAGUAGUAUUCAUCUUGAUGCAUCAAAAUUAUUUCUCUUCCUUCAUUGGAUGAAAGGAAAACGAUGGUCGAUGAUGUGGACAAAGAUAGGUGAUUUGCCAUUGAUGCCAUUAUUGUGAGCAUAAUGAAAAGUAGGAAGGUGUUGGAAUAUCAGUAAUUGGUCGCCGAGUGUGUUGAGCAGCUAACUCGCAGUUUCAAGCCUGUUUUUAAGCUAAUCAAGAAAAGGAUAGAGGAUUUGAUUACAAGAGAUUACAUUGAAGGGACACGGAUGAUCCUCAAUUGUUCCGGUACGUUGCCCGAGUAAAUAAUAAAUAUGCUUCGUCUUCCACAAGAUGAUGGGUGCGCUUUUCGCAAACAAAUUUUUGGUCCAUCUCAGUAAUCAGAUCAGUAUCUCAACAAAGGCAACAAAUUUUUUGAUGGGUGCUUCUUGAUCACUAUCUUCUUUUGCUAUUUAUUACAAUGUUAAACUCUAGAUGAGUUUCUGCCCCUUUAUGCUAUACACAACUCUGUGUUUGUGGCUUGAAUAUUGUUUGUUUUUUGAUUUUUUGAACGAGGCAACAUUCAGAUUAAUACUCCUAUAAAUUAGAAUUACACAGAAAUAUAGAAUCAAUUAUAAUUUGCAAUUAUUAAUUACUUGAAGGUUAAUAUGAUGGAAAAUGUUGUGUGACUUCAUUUGUUUAUAGGUGGUUUUAAGUAUAACAGUUUAACAAUAGCUUUUACAGUUGAUUGAUCUGUUCUUUUCUUGAAUUUGUUUUAGAUUGGAUUGUCCAGUAUGAUCCUCCCGAUGAUCCGAAGGUAAUUCUGAUCUGGUGAAGGGUAACCUUAACAUCCCAUUCCAUAAAAAUAACAAAAAAAUCAACAUCAAGUUUAUGGUUUUAUUCUUCAUCAUCCUGCAUUGUUAAGGUAUUUUUAUUGCUUUCCGAUCUCUUUAAUUUUGUUCAUUAGUAUUGAAUUAUGUAUCUUACCAUUUCUGGAUUACCAGGAAAAAACACUUGCGAGAAUUUCUCAUAAUUUAAUUGGUUCAUCAGCAGCGAAAAUUAUUUGGUUAUUAGUGGACGUGAUGCUCCACAAAAUGAGAUGAUUGUACUUUUAGUUGAUAUCUUUGCAUUAGUUGAUAUCUUUGCAUUAGUUGAUAUCUUUCCCUGAUAGACGCUGAAGAACUUCCUCUUCUUUCAUGUGCUUACCUUUCGUAUUUUUGGGAAUUUUCAUUUCAAGCUCAGGGGAUCAAGCCCAUUCAACUGGUGGGAUGGUAUGACUUUCGUUGAAGUGAUACAUGAUGCUCCAUUGCCACAAGCUGAAAAUGUACAUUAAGCUAUGUCUGAAAAUGCAGAAGAAAGAAGCAGCAGCUGCCAUGCAACCACCAACUAAUGAGAGGUAAUAGAAUAAUAGGUCAUGCUUGACAUAUAUAAUUACAGGUUGUAACUGUUUGUUUCUUCUUUGUUUACUUUGAUAUAAGACCUGCCUGUCACUUGGAUUCCUCUCCAGAAAAAUCUGAUGGUAUGGAAACUGAAUUUCACUUUUUUUGAAUAUUUGUGUUUUUCCCAUUAAGCUUCAUAAAAAUAAUAAUUGUAAGUUUUCAUCCAUUUGACUUAAUUGUUGAAUUUGAAGACAAUAUCUUCCAUAAGCCGAAUGCUUUCAUAUGGAAUUUUAUCAGGUGAUUUGACACGAACACAUGUUUUGAUGAGUUGUUGUUACUGGAUUUCAACCACUACAACUAUCUAUAAAAUCCAAGUCUUCACAUAUAUUUAAUCUUAUAACCAUACACAAACUCUUGCACUUAAAAAGGAACACAAGUAACUCAAAUUCGUUUUCUCAAAUUUGCCUAAAUACACAAACAUAUACUUGUGCUUUGUUAAUUUAAUUUGUGUUUUCACUUUCUACAAAUGUACAGGAAACUGAUUGCUACAACUUCAUUCUCAACGUAAUUAGGUAUUAUUACACUUGUAUUCUUUUAUAUGCUUUCUAAAUUCAACAUGUUUAUUGAUGUCAUUCAAUGAGUUGUUUUUUUUUCUAUUGUUCAAUUUCUAUUUACUUAUUUGCUAUUUACUAAUCAAUGAUUUACAGAUCAUUUAAUUAGAACAAAGAAAAAAAAGAUCAUUAAAAUGAACACAUAUUUUGCGAAAUAAAAUUAAGAAAAACUUCUGCUCUUUACUACACAGAAUGAAUAUACUUUUGCUCUUUUCGUUAUGAUUGCAACAUUCCACCCUUGAA